ACACACACACACAAAUGUAGAGAUCUCGGAGUGAGGGAGCUGCCCAUGGUAAGGCGACCCGAGCAGUUGGGGGUUCAGUGCCUUGCUCAAGAGCACUUUGGCAGUGCCCAGGAGGGGAACUGGCACCUCUCCAGCUACCAGUCCACCACCAUACUAUGGUCCGUAUGGGGACUUGAACCAGCGA